AUAAUAAUAUUAUACUACUAAUUGUGAAAUUAAUCAGUGCAUUAAUUAAAAGAAUAUUUAAAUUUUUAAAAAGAUUUUGUUAGAUUUUUUCUCAACAGAUUUUGUUAUUUCUAUAACUAAAAUUUAAAUUUAUAGUUAAAAUGGAUUUGUUAUUAAUAUCUUUAUAAUUAUUUAGAAAUGUUAUACAUUAAAUAAACUAAUGUAAACAAUAAAAAAAUUAUUUGGAUAUAUGGACCUAGACUUUUAGUAUGACUAUUUUGUAGUAGAUAAAAAUAGUAUUUCUCUUUUAAUAGAGAAGAUAACAAAAUAAAUUAUCAAAUUUUUACUUUAUUUAAUGCAACAUAUAAACGUAAUUUAUGUUAUAUUUUAUAAAAUUAAAAGUAAAUAAAAUUUUGUAUAAUUUUUUUAAUAAACUUUACCUACAAUUUUAUAAUUUAUUUGAUAUUAUAAAUGAUUUUCAUUUUACAGAUGCUACCACUUAAAUAAUAUAUAUGUAAAAUUUUGUUUAAUUUUCAUAAAAUAUUUUCUUUAUUUUUCUUCUUAUAGCUAUAGAAACAAAAGAUAAAUCAUAAUGGGAAAAGCUGUACAAUUUUCAUGUAGACUUUAAACAUUGAAACUAAAGCUAAAUCAUUAUUAAAUUUUUUUUGACAAUUUAGAACUAAAUAAGAUCAAAGUCUAACUAGUCAUCUAGAAAACAUGUAAAAUUAAAAUUAUUUGUAGCGGUCGUCGACACGAGACUAUCGCUGACAGUUAGAAAAAUUAAAAUUAUAUAUAUAGCACAAUACUCUUUUUUAUUCCUAAAACUCCGAUAUUCUUGUUUUGAUUUGGAAUAUAUUCUUAUUUCAAACUUGAUUUCUUACCAUUUAUUCGUAUUUUCAGUUUAUUUAUUUAUUUAUUACUUAUGAGUUAAAAAUCACAACGACAGCAGUUUCUGAUUUUCUGUUUUUUGGCAAACAAAUUUAUUAAUAAAAAUUAAAUUUUCAAAAUCAAUAUCCAGAACUUCUGAAAAGAAAACUAUUACAUAAACAAAGAUAUUUGUCAUAUAUUGAGAAACUAUAUAUAAAGUAAUUUUAACGAUUUUAAUCCACAUAAUGAUAGAGUAAAAAACACAAAAAGCUAUUUUUAAUUCGCUGGCAAACAAAAACAUAAACAUACAUCUAAUCUUACUAAACACACAGCACAAUAGUAUCCAAUAUAUUUUUAUUAAAGUUGAAUAUCCAAUAUAUUUUUAUUAUGAAUUGAUCUUUUUUGUCAUUGGUCAAAUUAUCAAUAGUAUCAUCAGAUAAUAUUAUUUCAUCACAUAUGAUGAUGAUUAAUUACAUGAAGCAAAGCAUAUGCGAACAUGAUGAAUACCUUCACGAACAUCUGUGGCACGUUGAAACCUCUGAAAAGUUUACAUCCUAUAAAAUUGCAAGAAAUUGUGUUUAAUCUGAAAAUCAAACCGUAGAUUUGAUGUAGAAACUCUUAAACCUUGACCAAUAUGUACGGUGUUUCCACAAAUGAUUAAAAAUCAUUACUAUUAAGUUAACUGUCCUUUUAUGCUCUAAUGUAAUAUGUUUGGAGUGAGAUGGUGUAAGAAAAGGUCUCUUACGACGAAUAUCGCCAAUUACUAGUUCAGAUUUUACUGCUUCGUCUUAUGUUUAGGCUCAAGCUGAUCUUAGUAUUGGUGGGAACUAUCUUAUAACAUAAAGAAGAAGGUUAUUCUCUUCUCCUCUUGCCACCUCAUCAAAUAAGGCAAGGAAGUGGCUACACGUGUCUACUAAAUGAAAAGCUUCCGCUACUUUUUGAUUUUUUUAUGGACUUAUACGGUUUGAUUAUUUGUAGGUUCUCGAUAAUGUGUGUUGGGCUGAGAAACAAACGACAACUUGGCCCAUUGUUUUUCUUUUGGGUAAAAUACGUAGCCCGUUGUUUGCCUUCAUCUUCUUCCCGGGUAUUAUUGUUUAUAGGGUUCGUCGUCUCCUCCAAAAUCUGAUUUCGUCUACCACCAGCGGGGUUCUGAAAAGUCGUGUGAGUUGCCUUUCAAUCUAUGUGUUGAUGUCUGUUCAUGUCGUUUUGUUAUCGAUUUGUCACCUCCGAACCGUUACGAGUUGGAUUGAUUCAACCAUUAAUUACUUAUUAAUUAACUCUUUCGCCCGCUACAACCACGAUCCCGGCCACGAUCCUUCAUUCAACGAUUCUGAUUCCUCUUGCAGUCGGUGAUGCUCCACCCUAUAAAAAGAUUGUUUAAGUGCAGGAAUAAAAUCUUUGCCGUCUCUUUUGGUGGGCCUAUUUAAUUAGGUAUGUGUGGAGCUUCCUCUGUAGAUUGAUGAUUUGAGUUCAUAGCUUCAUAAGCUUAUCUCAUGGCGGGCAACAACAAUGAAGGCACAAAGACUCUUGAUCACUCUUAUCAAGUUUGAAACCCAUUAUGUUCUCCCAUGAUAUUGUCUUUCUUUUUUUCUGUGUAUGUACAUGAACGAUGGGAGAGAGAUUUGGGCUGACGAUUCUCUAAGACUCUAACAUGGCUAUCCAUGCCUCUGUUUAAUUGGGUCAGAGUUGUGUCUUCUCUGGGUCUGGGCAGACUUGGCUUUAGCUGAUUGAGAUCCUAAGGUUUUUCCUGCUCAGGAAUGUUCACAAUUUAGUGUAACAAUUCAAGUGUGGUGCUUCGUAGAUGUAUUCAGAUUGAUGAGAGGCUUGGUCAGACUCUCUACUGACACAAUAUAUCAGAUUGCAGCGAAGGACGCUUGGUCAAAAUCCAAACAAACAUGUAUCUUUCUAAUUAAAAAUAGUUAGUUAGCUAUUUUUUGUGUUGUUUACCUAAUUUAAAAUAUGUUUUUUUUGUUAUCAUGAAUCACCUUUUCCUUUUUAGGAUCAUAUAAAUCAUCAUUUUAAUAAAAAUGCAUAAAAUAAAAUUGAAUUCAAUAA